GACGAACGCUGGCGGCGUGCUUAACACAUGCAAGUCGAACGGAAAGGCCCUGCUUUUGUGGGGUGCUCGAGUGGCGAACGGGUGAGUAACACGUGAGUAACCUGCCCUUGACUUUGGGAUAACUUCAGGAAACUGGGGCUAAUACCGGAUAGGAGCUCCUGCUGCAUGGUGGGGGUUGGAACGUUUCGGCGGUUGGGGAUGGACUCGCGGCUUAUCAGCUUGUUGGUGGGGUAGUGGCUUACCAAGGCUUUGACGGGUAGCCGGCCUGAGAGGGUGACCGGCCACAUUGGGACUGAGAUACGGCCCAGACUCCUACGGGAGGCAGCAGUGGGGAAUAUUGCACAAUGGGCGGAAGCCUGAUGCAGCAACGCCGCGUGCGGGAUGACGGCCUUCGGGUUGUAAACCACUUUCGCCUGUGACGAAGCGUGAGUGACGGUAAUGGGUAAAGAAGCACCGGCUAACUACGUG
rnacentral:rRNA from 1 species